GAUGAACGCUGGCGGCGUGCUUAACACAUGCAGGUCGAACGAAGCACUUUAUUUGAUUUCCUUCGGGACUGAUUAUUUUGUGACUGAGUGGCGGACGGGUGAGUAACGCGUGGGUAACCUGCCUUGUACAGGGGGAUAACAGUUGGAAACGGCUGCUAAUACCGCAUAAGCGCACAGCAUCGCAUGAUGCAGUGUGAAAAACUCCGGUGGUAUAAGAUGGACCCGCGUUGGAUUAGCUAGUUGGUGAGGUAACGGCCCACCAAGGCGACGAUCCAUAGCCGACCUGAGAGUGUGACCGGCCACAUUGGGACUGAGACACGGCCCAAACUCCUACGGGAGGCAGCAGUGGGGAAUAUUGCACAAUGGGCGAAAGCCUGAUGCAGCGACGCCGCGUGAGCGAAGAAGUAUUUCGGUAUGUAAAGCUCUAUCAGCAGGCAAGAUAAUGACGGUACCUGAUUAAGAAGCACCGGCUAAAUACGUG
rnacentral:rRNA from 1 species